CAUGGUUUCUCCAUCCUUUUUCCAUUUUCAAUGCAAUCCACCUUAAAUUUCUCUCUCCCGUAACGCCAUCCAUACCCCGGCAUUGCUCUGCCCGUACACAAACUACCACACUAGUCGCAAGUUAAAACCACUACAAAAUCCAUUCCAACUUGCCUCAUCUCUCCCACCUCCAUCACCAAACCAGCACAGGUCGCUGUCUCUCUCCGAAAUAUCAUUUCGUUUUUUAAUCAUCUUUUCCUCCUCUUCGCUAAUCACCAUGAUUUGCCUCCGAGCCGCCUUCCCCUUGACCUCCUCCUUCUCCUCCUCCCCUCUCCGCCGCCUCGCCCUCAAGCCCUCCUCCUCCCGCGCCGCCGCCGCCGCCGCCAUGUCGUCCGCCCCCGCCACCGCCAUCGCCGCGCCGGUCGAGCACAUCGUGCUCAUCAAGGUCCGCCCCGAGGCGGCGGCGUCGGGCGCCGCCGCGGCGAUGGUGUCCUCGCUGCAGGCGCUGUCCAGCGUGGUGCCCGGGCUGUCGUACAUCCACGUCGGCCCCGUGCUCCGCCUCCGGUCGCCGGCGGCGGAGGCGCUGGGGCCGACCCACGUCCUCCACUCCCGCUACGCCACCAAGCCCGACCUGGCGGCGUACGCGGCGCACCCGGCGCACGUCGCCGCCGUGCAGGGGCACGUCCUCCCCAACGCGCUCGACACCACCGCCAUCGACUGGGUCAACGCCGCGCUCGCGCCGUCCCCGGUCACCCCGGGCUCCGCCGUGCGGCUCACGCUGGCGAAGGUGAAGGAAGGUGUGGAGGUGCCCCAGCUCGUGGAGAAGGUCGCCGCGGCGACGGCGGCGGCGGGCGAGGCGAAGGGCGCCAGGGUGAGCUUCGGGGAGAACUUCUCCCCCGCGCGGGCUAAGGGGUACCAGUUCGGGAUGGUGGCGGUGUUCGACAGCGUGGAGGAGCUCGACGCGGUGGAGGGGGACGGGAAGGUGCAGGAGGCCAAGGCGGCGGUGAGGCCACUGCUCGACGAGGUGCUCGUGCUGGACUUCGUCGUCGGACCUGCCGCCGUGGAGGCUCCGGCGCCGGCCAACCUCUGAGAGAGUAUUAUACGCAAUAAUCGCUGUUGUCGGAAUCGGAUGUCCGGGUUACUACAUUUUGAGCAGUUUUGAUGACUUUGGCCAUGUUAAAGUUGAGGAGGUCAGUCCAUUCAAUAGUACAGAGGACCUUUUUUUAGUGGUAAUAGUGAUCUUGCUGAACGCAUCAGCUCUAGAAUUGUUGCACGUGGUAUUGCCCUCGAUGACUCUCAGCUUGAUGACCAUUCUGAAAGUGAUAGUUCUAGUAUAGGCACUGCAGCACAACCAUCCCCAAUUAGGAACAGUCCUUCAAGAAGCUUGAGUUUUUCUCAUUUGUCAAGGUUGAGAGGCAGAGUUCAUACCUUGUGGGAAUGGGUUCUUCGGAAAUGGCCUUCGGAUUGUAUUAUCAUUUACCAAAGCGAGCAGCUGGCAUUCGUUAUGUAUUCAUUGGGAAGCCAAUGAUUCAGAGGCCCAGGUACUCUCCUUUAUUUUGCUCAUCUAGGAGUACCUUUUAUACUACGGCCGAGUUUAGUUCCAAACUUUUUCUUCAAACCUCCAACUUUUCCAUCACAUCAAAACUUUUCUACACACACAAACUUCUAACUUUUCUGUCACAUUGUUCCAAUUUCAACCAAACUUCCAAUUUUGGCGUGAACAUGAAACAUAUCAUACAAACAUUAGACUAUGAAACACCUGCAAUAAAUGAGUUUGAGAAUGCAGAUGAUGAGUCUUUUCAUGAUCUACAGUUUUUUUUGGACAUCUUCACAUGUUUUACUUCCCUUUGGGAGCUUAAAAUUCUCCAGCAGAUCAUAUUUAACUCAUCGGAUUUUGCAGGUAUCAAAUCUUGGGUAUUUUUUUGUUAAUUCAGUUAUGUAUUCUCGGUGCUGAAAGGCUUCGAAGAAGUAAUUUAUCAACAAUUGCUAGUUCGAUUAAUCAAAUCUCAUCUGGAAGCUAUCCUUCAUCGAGAGGUGGCACUUUCUUUUUCUGAAUUUAUGAAACCGGUUUUGGUUUUAUGCCAAUGCUUUGUGUUUACUUGUUACAUGGGUAUAAAAUGUUCCAAUAUUACCUUUGUGAAUGGGAAACAGGUCGAGGUGUCACAUCGAAUAUUUGGACACAUGCAUGGAGUAUUAAAUAUAUAUAAAAAAAUUAAUUACACAGAAUACAUGUAAAUUGCGAGACAAAUCUUUUAAGUCUAAUUGCUCCAUGAUUUAACAAUAUGGUGCUAUAGUAAACAUUUGCUAAUAACGGAUUAAUUAUGUUUAAUAAAUUCGUCUCGUAGUUUAUAGGCAGAACCUGUAAUUUGUUUUGUUAUUAGUCUUCAUCUCAUACUUCAAAUAUUUGUCCGUAUAUUCAAUGUGACAUGCUAAAACUUUUCACCCCUAAACUACACAGGGCCUUUAGGCUGUGUUCGCGGGAGGAUGUUCCCAACCAGCCGUUAGCGCACGGAAAACGGAACGAUCUAUUAGCACGUGAUUAAUUAAGUAUUAGCUAAUUUUUUUUUAAAAAAUGGAUCAAUAUGAUUUUUUAAGCAACUUUCGUAUAAAAACUUUUUGCAAAAAACAUACCGUUUAGCAGUUUGAAAAACAUGCGCGCGGAAAACGAGGGAGAUGAGUUGUGAAACUUGGGUAAGAACACACCCUUAAUUAAUCUCGCGUUAAUAGACCGCUCCGUUUUCCGUGCUAACUGUUCCGGUUGGGAACUGGAAAUAGCGAACACAAUCUUAGGGUGUGUUUAGUUCACGCCAAAAUUGAAAGUUUGGUUGAAAUUGGAACAAUGUGAUAGAAAAGUUGAAAGUUUAUGUGUGUAGAAAAAUUUUGAUGUGAUGAAAAAGUUAAAAGUUCGAAGGAAAAGUUUGGAACUAAGUCCUCAGUAGAGUUGGAGUGUGGCAAAGCAAAAGACCGAACCUGUUUGUCACAGGUGCCACCAACCCUCUCAUCCGGCGGCUGCCCAACAGAGAAUCCAGCAUGGUUUCUCGGUUUCUCCAUCCUUUUCCCAUUUUGAAUGCAAUCCACCUCAAAUUUCUCUCUCCCGUAACGCCAUCCAUGACGCCGGCUUUGCUCUGCCCGUACACAAACAGCCAUACUAUACUACCAGCAAGUUACUAUGGAGUACUUGCAAACCACUACUCCAUCCAUUCCAACUUGCUUCAUCUUCAUCUUUCCCACCUCCAUCACCUCACCAACAGCACCAGCGCAGGUCGCUGUCUCCGAAAUAUCAUUUCGUUUUUAAUUAUCUUUUCCUCCCCUUCGCUAAUCACCAUGAUUUGCCUCCGAGCCGCCUUCCCCUUGACCUCCUCCCCUCUCCGCCGCCUCGCCCUCAAGCCCUCCUCCUCCCGCGCCGCCGCCGCCGCCAUGUCGUCCGCCAUCGCCGCGCCGGUCGAGCACAUCGUGCUCAUCAAGGUCCGCCCGGAGGCGGCGUCGUCGGGCGCCGCCGCGGCGAUGGUGUCAUCGCUGCAGGCGCUGUCCACGGCGGUGCCCGGGCUGUCGUACAUCCACGUCGGCCCCGUGCUCCGCCUCCGGUCGCCGGCGGCGGAGGCGCUGGGUCCGACCCACGUCCUCCACUCCCGCUACGCCACCAAGCCCGACCUGGCGGCGUACGCGGCGCACCCGGCGCACGUCGCCGCCGUGCAGGGGCACGUCCUCCCCAACGCGCUCGACUCCACCGCCAUCGACUGGGUCAACGCCGCCCUGGUGCCGUCCCCGGUGAACCCGGGCUCCGCCGUGCGGCUCUCCCUGGCGAAGUUGAAGGAGGGUGUGGAGGCGCACCAGCUCGCGGAGAAGCUCGCCGCGGCGACGGCGGCGGCCGGGGAGGCGAAGGGCGCCAAGGUGAGCUUCGGGGAGAACUUCUCCCCCGCGCGGGCCAAGGGGUACCAGUUCGGGAUGGUGGCGGUGUUCGACAGCGUGGAGGGGCUCGACGCGGUGGACGGGGACGGGAAGGUGGAGGCGGCCAAGGCCAUAGUCAGGCCGCUGCUCGACGACGUGCUCGAGCUGGAAUUCGUCGUCGGACCUGCCGCCGCGGAGGCUCCGGCGCCGGCCAACCUCUGAGAGGUUUGCCUUUGGUUCGAAAACUCUAGUUGCCUUGUUUGAUCGGUUGAGAAUAAUACAAUCCUUGUGAUUGGGUGUGCUGUGGCCUGUGGUUAGCAAUGGCAAUUGAUUUUGAAAUGAAUAAGAAUUGUACCUGACUACCUGAACUAGGAAUUAGGAUGGCCGCUCUUGCUUGGACGUCUACCGAACAAGAGCUUGCUGUCUUCAGUGUU